AGACAUGUUUAUGUAUCCAGAUUUUGCUAAGAAAGCUCUCAUAGAUCAUUCUAAGAAUCUUCUAUGUUCUAAAUCAAAGAUGGUCAUAUGAAGCCUGGAACGAAACGAAUGAAGAGACCGAAAUGAAUGAAGAAGAUCUUUUCAGAUUUUAUGUCGAGUUACGUCAUUGUUUGCAUCAUUGAUGUAAAAUAUACCUGGAAGAAACUCCUUCUAGCAGCACCUCACGCAUGAUGAGUGAUAGCUCAUAUCGAAAACCCCCGAGCUGAAGUGUGUGUCACACGAGAGUCUGCAACAUGGAGUCACGUGCGAAGGACAAAAUUUGCCGUUACGGCAGUAGACAAUUCUAGCUAAGAAAGCAGAGUUCAGAGCAGAAUUGAAGCAGAAAGCUGCCGACCAA